rnacentral:rRNA from 1 species
UACGUAGGGUCCGAGCGUUGUCCGGAAUUACUGGGCGUAAAGAGCUCGUAGGUGGUUUGUCGCGUUGUUCGUGAAAACUCACAGCUCAACUGUGGGCGUGCGGGCGAUACGGGCAGACUGGAGUACUGCAGGGGAGACUGGAAUUCCUGGUGUAGCGGUGGAAUGCGCAGAUAUCAGGAAGAACACCCGUGGCGAAGGCGGUUCUCUGGGACGGUACUGACGCUGAGACGCGAAAGCGUGGGGAGCGAACAGG